AGUUUUUAAAUUCUGUGGCUUUCUGUGAACUUCUAAAUCUGCUGCUUAGUGGCAUCUUUUCAGGUCUGAUACUGCCUCUAGUGGCGUGGGGUGGUAACACCACUAACAAAAUCACAUUGCUAAAUGAGAAUACCACCAAGUCUUUAUUAUUUAUUAUUAAUUCUGGCAUUACUGGCACCGUAAAAAAUAAGUUCUCUAAUAAAAGACCAUAAUUUUUUAUUUUCUGAAUGUUGUAGAGCUAAUUAAAUGACCUAAUUACAAGACCUUAAUUAUAAGCAAGGUCUUGUUUAUAAUGUAUAAAUAAUACCUUUAUACAUUAUAAAUAAUAUCUAUAUAUCUCCAUCAAUUAUAGGAGGAAUAAAAGGUAAAAGGAGACAUGAAAAGCAACAUAAUAAUACUAUUUACAAUGUACACAUAAGAAGCUUAAUUGAGCAAAAGUCAAUAACAAACAAAUGAAUUAGGUUCACAGAAUAACGAAUCUGGUUGAUAUAACCAGGGUUGGUAAACAGAUACCUGUACAAAUUCACCUUUUUAUUUUUACCAUGUAUAUUAUUCUGAGACGUUUUGUUGGUAGAGUCUCAUACAGCAUUUAAUCUAUCAUGGUGGAAAUUUUCCUUCAACUCUAAAGUCAUCAAAUAAAACACAUUCAUAGAAUCACAAUAUCAACAAUUUGUGCAACGAGUAAAACACUUAGCAUGCUAAAGAUAAAUGUUAUAAUUUAGUCUGGUUAAGAAUAAUUGUUGCACUGUCAAUAAAUGAUGCCUUCAUGAGCUCAGCGGUUCAAACUGAUGAAUACAGGAUGGAUGCUCUCUGCCAUUGAAAGUUUUCUUAAAAGAUUGUCAGUUGUUCUGCAGUUCUUGUGACCAAACCAGAUGAAAAGUUAAAACACAACAUUGUCUUGUACACAACCUCUAGUUUAACCCCAAGAUCUCUGGAUCUCCUCAAAAGGCAGAGUCUCUGAGAACAGUUCUUAGAAACACAGCCACUGCUUUCAGUAAAGUUGAGCUGACUGUCCAGGAAUCAUCCAAAGUAUUUAAAAUUAGCCACAGUUUCAAAGGUUCUGACCAGAACUCGGUUCUGUUAAAGCCCGGAUCCAUGGAACCUGUUCAAAUCCUGCAAUCAGGGCGGAUCAGCGGACGGUUGGCGCCCUCUUCUGGUUGAUAUAAGGUCUUACAAUAUUGUGACUGUUAAUAAAUAAAUGGCCGCUGGGGGCGCUAGACCAUCCUAUGAUCCGCUGUGUUCUCCAGCUCAUCCGGGUUUAAAUCAUAUUUCUGACCCUAUAUUCUAUAUUUUAAUAUUUCUCAUAACAGACAGAAGUUAACCAGGUUUCAGUUAAAGAUUUCUGGCAAGGCAAGAGUUGAAGAUGACCGAGAAAUACCAGAGAUUCUGCAGAACCGGACCGGGUUGAGGUUCUAAAGAACAAUCCAGGUGAGACAUGAAUCAGAGAAUAUUUGAUCUGUUUUCUCUAUGCUGUCAUUCCGAACCAGAUUCUGCUCGUUUGGACCUCAGACGGAACCAUUUCCUGGUCGGUUCCGUUCAGUUUCGGACUUCUCUGCGUCCUGCGAGUCGUUCUCAACAUUUCCCUUCCUGUGAGUUUGGUUCUGGGUUUCCGUUUGGACCUUCAGGUUCUUCUGGUCCAGGUGAAACUCACCGGCUGCAGUUUUCUUCUUCUUGAUCAUCUCUGAACGUCGCAGCGUUUGGCAAACACCACUGCCCCCUCAUGGCUGUUGUGUGAAUUAAUACCUGAAUCUAGAAAUAGAAGACAUAGAUUCUGCCAUAAAUUCAAAUUUUACAAAUAUUGCUGUAAUCUCAUUCGUGACGAUAAAAAACAAAAUCCUUCUAUUGCUGACUAAUUAUCAGGUCUUAUAAGUUUUUAUUAUUUCAGUUAAUAACCAUCAAUAAAGAAGUUAAUUGUGCUGUAAUAAUAAUUAACUCCGUUCUGCUUUUUUAGACCAAUUUGGGACAAAAAAUCACCCAGGAAUAAAUCUGACCAAAUGCUAAACCGAUCAGAAACAUUUUAUGAUUCACGAAGAUGAAAAUGUUGGUUUGAAUCUGGCAGCAUUUAUGUUACAGAUCGGGAUGUUUAUGACGCUGCGUACGGAGUUAUGAGUUUUUCCAGCUGCAGUUUUGCCUCGUUGUGCAUUUUGGCUCCUCUGGUCUGAAAACAGAUUGUCUGGAGAGAGGAGCAGAAACUCCUGGCCCAGUUCGGAUCGGACUGACUGGCGCCGAGGACCAAGGGGAUGGAAAUGGGUCGAUGGGACUCGGCCUAGUCAAAGCUUUUUGGAAACCUGGUGAACCGAACGACUAUCAGCAACUCAGAAACUGGGUCAGAAAACGGCUGAAUCUGAGGAGCUGCUGAAACGAUUCAAACUGGAGAACGAUGAAGCAUCGAGUUCUUCCAGAACCCGAAGAACGUCUGAGGCUGUUGGAAAUAAAUAGAUCAAAAUGAAAUAAAUCCUGUCCGUCUUUCUGUUAAUGCAAAGAUGAGUAAAUAAUCUGAGUCUCAGCAGCUGUAAUUUAAUAUUCCUAUAAUCUGUCUUCUGUUUUUAUUUCCAUUCUGUGUUUCUGCAUCUGAAGCUUCAAAUAUUGAAGGACAGAUUGUGAACUUGUUGUUUUUGGAUGUUUCACAGAUGCAGCAUUACUGCGUGACAUUAAUAUGUUCAUAACCUCAUUAUGCUGUGAUGUUUCAGUUUAAUGAAACUGAAGCUCAAAGAGAAAUAAAACGUUUUGAUUUCUUUAGUUUCAGUGAAAA